UUCUGGGAUGUGAAGGGAGUUUCUGUCUAGCUCCUCGCUGUUCCUCAAGAACAAGAGCCGUGUGAGGAGUUCUGAGAUUGACAGCUGUAAAAAAGGAAAAAGAAAAUGAAACGCAGUGCUGACAUCCUUUGAUUGAAUCCUCAGUUUGAAGAUGAGCAAACUGAAGCUCGGAGUGGUCACAUGCCUUGCCCAUGGUCACACUGCAGAUAAAUGGUGGAGCCAGGUUUUGAUCCCAUCCAUUGAGCUGCAGCUAGGCCUCUGAUAGAAGACUACCCUUCCCAGCUUCCCUUGUGGUAGGGAGAGUCAUGAGGCUUGUUUGGGCCAAUGAAACGUGAGUGGAAGUGAUGUGAUCACAUCCAGCUGACAGAGUGAAGAAGGCUCGGUUGGGUCUCCAGUUUCUGCCGUGCACCAGCAUCCUGGAGCCACAGGUUGAAGUGGCUUUGCCCCAGCAUGGUUGAGCUCUGUUAGCCUGGGGUCCUCAGUGACUGGGUGGAGCUGAGCUCUCCUCCAUACCAUACCACCAUACACACGUGCACACACAGACACACACACACUCACACACUCCCCAUGCUGGACAUGUAAUGUGAGCAUGCAAGAAAAACAAACCGCUGAAAAUUUCUGUUAGUUACUACCUAGCCCAUUCUGUCUUGACUAGUACAGAAUCCUAGUAUCCACAGGCAAAUUUGAUUACAGUGGAAACGAACAUCUCAAUUUCUAUUGAAAUGAAAAUCAGGGCUCAUAAAAUUGUGAUAAUAACCUUGCUUGCACUCUUAUUGAGAAAUUAUAACCUUCCAUCUAAGAAAUACUGAGAUCAUGUUAAUCAGAGUGAGGUGUUUUUCUGUUAAUACUACACAUUAAAUAGUUUUCAUUUCUAUUAUGUUGUUCUUGUUACAUUUAGAUCUUGGAAAUGUUCCUUAGAGUCAAGCAUGUAUCUCACCACAAAUUUAUCAAGUAGUACAAAGCCUACAUAUGCAAAAAAAAUCUAUAUCUAUAUUUAUGGUUAAUAUUUGACACUUAUGUAACUCAGGCAAAAGAUGACUCUGGAUAAAGAUGAAUCUGGGGUCUGGCCUGUGGUUUUAAGGAUGCUGCCACACAAUUUGCCAUCUUUGAGAAGCUGCAAGAGGAUUUGUCAGGAAGGGUUCUGCACUGUCUCCCCUCCUCCUCCCAUGCAUGUAGCAAGUGGGUCAGGACUUUACCCUGCAUCGUGGAGUGAGACAGUCUCCAGCGGAAACGCACCCAUAACUGAAGGAGAGCAGAGGAGAGUACACUGCUGUCUGGCGCAAUGGUUCUCACAUUUCAGUGUGCAUCACUCUCACCUGGGGAGCUGGUUAAGCAAAGGUUGCUGCGCUCCACCCUAGAGUCUCUGAUUCAGUUUGUUGGGGGUGGGGCCCGAGAAUGUGCAUUUCCAACAAGCGCUCAGGUGAUGCUACUUCUGCUGCUCCAGGAACCACACUCUGAGAACUGCCACUCCAGGGCCUUGUUUGUCCAACUGUAGUCCACGUAUUCACAGUGUCUGCAUCCCUGGUGAAGUGUUUUCACAAUAAGGCCUGAGAAGCGUUGCAUUGGAGGAAAGAGAAGUGUUUUCGGGCACAACAAAGAGUUUUUGAGAACUCAGCUGCUGCCAGUAAUGGCUCAGGCUCCCUGGUGUCUAUCAGGUUCAGGCAUUGUCUGUUUCCGUUUUGUGAUCACACUGAAUGAGUCUUCAGGCUCCAGUAAUCCCCAGGUGGAAGUGAACUUCCCAGAUCUGAGUGCCCGUCACAAGUCACCUAUUUGCACAACACUGCGUUAGAAGGUACAAUCCGUCUACAGUAUAUUGUACAAUGUGGUGCGUACCAGCUUUGCGUUUCAAUCCUGGCUUCCUUAGUUUGUCUCUUUGUGAUUUUGGACAGAAUAAUCUCCCUGAGCUCCCUUUUAAAAGGAGUCUGAUAACAGGAUUUACCUCUUAGGAUUGUUGUGUAUUGUUAACGUGCAUGAAACUCUUGGAACAAUUGUGGGCAUAUAGUAAGUAUUCCCUAAACGAUAGCCGUUGUUAUAUUCUCCUAUGAGGCUUUCCAGCCUCCCCUUCUAUCGUGAUUUCUUAUACAGAUGUCUAAACACAGACUGUGGGCUGUGCUAAUUGUUGAACUUGCAAAAAAAAAGUCUCAUUCAUCUAUGUCUUGAUAGCACAAGUCCUUUCAGAUGCUAGAUGCUCGGUAAGUGUUGGCUGCAUGAACGAACGUGCAAGUGUCUGUGCUGUCUGUGUGCUCUCUCUACCUUCGGGGUGGGGGGUGUGUCUCUCCAGAACCAGAAUGCAGGACUGGGAAAGAUCCAGUGUCGUCAACAGGAAGUGGUCUCUCCAGUCUCCCUGCUCUUGGAACUAAUCUGCCAUCAGAAAGAGCAAAGUCAAGAUGCUGUCCAAAUCUCAGUGGGACCUCGGGGUGAGAAGUCACAUCCAGGACAAGACAGCCAGGGAGAAAGGGCUUAACACCAAGGGCUAUGGGGAGCUGACACCAAAACCCAGCCGUGGGCUGUCUGCCUCAUGCUGUCUCCCAGGGGUGAAUGCAUUAUGUUUGGCAGGUCCUGAAACUCACGUCCCAUGCAGGCUGCCACGUCUCCUCCAUCCCUUCCCCUCUCCACCACCAUCACCUCCACUUUCUACCAUCCUGAAAGGAAGGAAAACCCAAGGGAGGGCCCUGGCCCACUAUGGACAGCUGUGACAUCACAGACUAUAAGACUGUCGCUUUAUUUGACUCUAGACUCUACAUUCCCUAAGCGUAAGAACUGCCUGGUUUGUUCACUUCAGCAUCCUGACAAAAACUCUCUCCUUGACCAAACUUUCGUCAGGCUCCUCAGAGCCCUCUCUUCUGCUGAGCCUCAGCCUUGGCGCCUGUCCUGUCUGUGGUCUGCCUAGCACUGUUUUAUCAGUAUCCUGCUAAGUGAGUUUAGUGGGGAUCCCUCUACCCUAGAUAUCUGGUCAAGUUCAUCCCCCGUCCUUGAUGGAUAGGCCUUGACCUGCCUUCAGCAAGAAUAUUGUAAAGUCGGUUUAGCAAGGAUCCCCCGUCCUGAGUGAUGUUCCGCCCACUGACCCUCCACACUCUGCUUAUUGGCUAUAAAUCAGCUCUCUUUGCCGUGUUUGGAAUUGAGCUUGACCUUUCUCCCCUCUUGCGAUAGUCUUGACCCCUAUUGCAACAGUCCUGAAUAAAGUCUUUCUUCUCAUA